GAUGAACGCUGGCGGCGUGCCUAAUACAUGCAAGUCGAACGCUUCACUUCGGUGAAGAGUGGCGAACGGGGGAGUAAUACAUAAGUAACCUGGCAUCUACAGGGGGAUAACUGUUGGAAACGUCAGCUAAGACCGCAUAGGUGUAGAGAUCGCAUGAACUCUAUAUGAAAAGUGCUACGGAAGUGGUAGAGGAUGGACUUAUGGCGCAUUAGCUUGUUGGUGGGGGAGCGGCCUACCAAGGCGACGAUAGGUAGCCGGCCUGAGAGGGUGACCGGCCACAGUGGGACUGAGAUACGGCACAGACUCCUACGGGAGGCAGCAGUGGGGAAUAUUGCACAAUGGGCGGAAGCCUAAUGCAGCAACGCCGCGUGCGGGAUGACGGCCUUCGGGUUGUAAACCGCUUUCGCCUGUGACGAAGCGUGAGUGACGGUAAUGGGUAAAGAAGCACCGGCUAACUACGUG
rnacentral:rRNA from 1 species